rnacentral:rRNA from 1 species
GCGGAGGAAAAGAAACCAACAGGGAUUGCCUUAGUAGCGGCGAGUGAAGCGGCAAAAGCUCAAAUUUGAAAUCUGGCACUUUCAGUGUCCGAGUUGUAAUUUGAAGAAGGUAUCUUUGGGUCUGGCUCUUGUCUAUGUUUCUUGGAACAGAACGUCACAGAGGGUGAGAAUCCCGUGCGAUGAGAUGUCCCAGACCUAUGUAAAGUUCCUUCGAAGAGUCGAGUUGUUUGGGAAUGCAGCUCUAAGUGGGUGGUAAAUUCCAUCUAAAGCUAAAUAUUGGCGAGAGACCGAUAGCGAACAAGUACAGUGAUGGAAAGAUGAAAAGAACUUUGAAAAGAGAGUGAAAAAGUACGUGAAAUUGUUGAAAGGGAAGGGCUUGAGAUCAGACUUGGUAUUUUGUAUGUUACUCUCUCGGGGGUGGCCUCUACAGUUUACCGGGCCAGCAUCAGUUUGAGCGGUAGGAUAAGUGCAAAGAAAUGUGGCACUGCUUCGGUAGUGUGUUAUAGUCUUUGUCGAUACUGCCAGCUUAGACUGAGGACUGCGGCUUCGGCCUAGGAUGUUGGCAUAAUGAUCUUAAGUCGCCCGUCU